rnacentral:lncRNA from 1 species
UUUCUUUCUUUUUUUUUUUUCCUUCUGCAGCAAAGCGUUUAUUGCAUCUUGAAGAGGAGAGCCCCUAAAGUCUUUCUAGUACUGAGUCCAAGGUCUACACAGGUCUUCAACAAAAAUCAGCAACAGGGAGUAACAGGGCUAUAGAACAAAAAAGACCAAACCCCUGUCAAAUGUCUGAUGAGGCCCCAGGAAAAUCACUGUCACUGCUCAGUAGGCAACAAAGUUGUCACCAGAAAAGGAAGUCGACCAUGGACUGUUCCAAUUUUGCCCACCUGUGCUCAACAUGCAUCUACUCUAGGUAAUCAGGUGCUCAAACAGGCACAACCCAGGUACACAGACACAGUACGCACCACACAGGACAAGGAAGAAAUCAAUCACACUUCAGACUGGCAAAUGUCCCAAAGGCACAGCAGGAAUGUGAUAUGAACAGCGGGAUGGAGAAGAAUGAAUAAUUCAGACUCCUGAUUCACUUAACCAAGUCCUGUCAUGACAAGCUAAGCACCGUGGCUAGUGUGAGCUCCCUCAGCGAAAAGCAACAGAACUGCCCUCUAAUAGACAGCCAACUGCGGCUGCUGUGGGAGUGGGAGAAGAGUGUUUUUCUGAAUGCUAACAUCAUAAAUGACCAAACCUGAAAGUAAGAAGUGUUACCAUUCCGUUGUGUAAAAAAGAAAGAAUGCAUGUACUUCACUCAUACCCAUCUUCUAAGAAUGCCUCCAGGGGGACUCGCUCUUCAAACCUAGACACAAAGGGUUACUUUCCACUAUCAGGAGGCACAAACAAGGUACUAGCAUUAACAUCUAUCUGCAAGCUGGCAAGGCCCACCCCUGGCUUAUGAGCACCCCAACUACUGUUAACCAAAACCCCCAGGCCUGUUGAGAUUAGAGAUCCAGUUAUAGCUGGAGCAUUAGUCACCAGUCUUAGACUGGUGAGUGGGGUUAUAUAAAGAUU